rnacentral:rRNA from 1 species
GACGAACGCUGGCGGCGUGCUUAACACAUGCAAGUCGAACGGAAAGGCCCUGCUUUUGUGGGGUUCUCGAGUGGCGAACGGGUGAGUAACACGUGAGUAACCUGCCCUUGACUUUGGGAUAACUUCAGGAAACUGGGGCUAAUACCGGAUAGGAGCUCCUGCUGCAUGGUGGGGGUUGGAAAGUUUCGGCGGUUGGGGAUGGACUCGCGGCUUAUCAGCUUGUUGGUGGGGUAGUGGCUUACCAAGGCUUUGACGGGUAGCCGGCCUGAGAGGGUGACCGGGCACAUUGGGACUGAGAUACGGCCCAGACUCCUACGGGAGGCAGCAGUGGGGAAUAUUGCACAAUGGGCGGAAGCCUGAUGCAGAAACGCCGCGUGCGGGAUGACGGCCUUCGGGUUGUAAACCGCUUUCGCCUGUGACGAAGCGUGAGUGACGGUAAUGGGUAAAGAAGCACCGGCUAACUACGUG